rnacentral:misc_RNA from 1 species
AAGUCGUAACAAGGUUUCUGUAGGUGAACCUGCGGAAGGAUUAUUACCGAAGUAUAGGCCCUUUUAUAGGGCUAAACUUCCACCCUUUGUUUACUAUUCUUUGUUGCUUUAGCGGGACGUCUUCGGACCACCAGCUCUCGGGCUGGUGAGCGCUCGCUAGAGGAAAAUCAAACCUAAACCUUUUUUAGUAUUGUCUGAGAAAUAAGUUUAAUUAUUAAAACUUUCAAUAACGGAUCUCUUAGCUCUG